rnacentral:tRNA from 1 species
AGCAGAGAGACGUAGUGGAAUCACAUUGGGCUCAUAACCCAAAGGUUGGAGAAUCGAAACCUCUCACUGCUA